rnacentral:tRNA from 1 species
GCCUUAGUAGCUUAAAAAUUAAAGCAUCGGUUUUGUAAUCCGAAGAUUGAAGGUUAAAUUCCUCCCUAACGC